rnacentral:lncRNA from 1 species
GUUUUUUGUUUUUUUUAAUUAUGUUCUCUGAUUACAUAGAAUCAAUAUAAAUCUGUUAACUGUCAAAACUAUUAGAUUUAAUCAGUUAAAAAUUAUGAAUAGGGUUUAAAUACAGCUGGCUCUGAAACAAGUCAGAUCCAAUUAGUUAAACUGCAUGAGAUGGUUUACAUACAAAUGGAAUAGUUUACCAUACUCCAGUCGGUAGGUUGCGGUACUGCACGAUGACGUGUCUAAAGCGGAUUUGGUAAUGCACGUGCAAAUUUGAAAAAAAGUAGCGCCAGAAGAAGCGUUCUUCUGAAUCUCCUUACCAUUUUGCAUUGGAGCAGCCUGGAUCAUAAUCUAUUUGCAAGAAUGAAGACUAAAAUCAACUGCAAUUACAUCCCGAGGAGCCCCAGUAUCUACCUCAAUUAAGACAUGGAGACACUCAUUAAAGAAUAUGUGUGCAAGUGAAAUCAAACCACUUGACUGUCCUCAUGUUUUUUAAGCUUGACUGUGUCCAGC